UGACCGAGCAACGCCGCGUGAGUGAAGAAGGUUUUCGGAUCGUAAAGCUCUGUUGUAAGUCAAGAACGGGUGUGAGAGUGGAAAGUUCACACUGUGACGGUAGCUUACCAGAAAGGGACGGCUAACUACGUGCCAGCAGCCGCGGUAAUACGUAGGUCCCAAGCGUUGUCCGGAUUUAUUGGGCGUAAAGCGAGCGCAGGCGGUUUGAUAAGUCUGAAGUUAAAGGCUGUGGCUCAACCAUAGUUCGCUUUGGAAACUGUCAAACUUGAGUGCAGAAGGGGAGAGUGGAAUUCCAUGUGUAGCGGUGAAAUGCGUAGAUAUAUGGAGGAACACCGGUGGCGAAAGCGGCUCUCUGGUCUGUAACUGACGCUGAGGCUCGAAAGCGUGGGGAGCGAACAGGAUUAGAUACCCUGGUAGUCCACGCCGUAAACGAUGAGUGCUAGGUGUUGGAUCCUUUCCGGGAUUCAGUGCCGCAGCUAACGCAUUAAGCACUCCGCCUGGGGAGUACGACCGCAAGGUUGAAACUCAAAGGAAUUGACGGGGGCCCGCACAAGCGGUGGAGCAUGUGGUUUAAUUCGAAGCAACGCGAAGAACCUUACCAGGUCUUGACAUCCCGAUGCUAUUUCUAGAGAUAGAAAGUUACUUCGGUACAUCGGUGACAGGUGGUGCAUGGUUGUCGUCAGCUCGUGU
rnacentral:rRNA from 1 species